AGCUUUGCACAGUGGCAAUAUCGUAGCCAAUGAGGUUUAUCUGAGGCGCGAUUAUUGUUAAAAAACAAAAAAGAAG
rnacentral:snRNA from 1 species